AAGCUUUCCCUGCAAUAUUAUCUCAGCAGCUCCCUAGCUGCUUACCCUGAAAACGAGGGCUCCAAACGGAGGGUGUUGCCCUCUGCUAACGCUGGUCCUGUGCGUGGCUGUGGCAUAUGAGCGGCAGGUCUGAAAAAGCAGGUGUGUGCUGGGACGGGCACUGGACUGGAACGCAGGCGGACGCUCUCGGGUUUACCUGCUUCCUGUUAACAGACUGUGGGCUCCCAGGGCGUAUGUCUGCACGCUGAGGCCGAGGCGGAGAAGGGGCUUCCUGAGCGUCCAGUACACUGACAGAGACACUUGGAUUGGACUUAAUCUUAAACCUCUGGAGUUCAAGACCUUUUAAAAGGGCUAAAUAAACAAUCUCUACAUGUAAAAGGCCACUGACUCCUACUUCCUCUGUAUAGAGCAACUGUUGAACUCAGCUGCCUGUAGGGCGUGAUUCUCAGUCACCAGACUCAGCAAAAGGUUUUAGAAACGUUCGACCAAACCUACAAGAUAAAAGAUCACCAACUCAGGCACCCCCUCCACCAGAAAGAAAAGAGAGCUUUCAUAGCUCUUUGAUAACCAGUCACACAAAGGGUGUCAUUUU
rnacentral:sRNA from 1 species